rnacentral:lncRNA from 1 species
CAUCUUAUUGUGAUUAAAAAUUUCAAGGCGAGCCGAGUCAAUAUCACUCAUGUAUGCUUUAUUAUUAUUAUUAUUAUCGGUUAAAAAAAAGAAUUCCAGAAAAUUUACUGUAUUUACUGCAAAAUCAUGGUACGGAUUUAACCAUCCAUUUCUUUGAUCUGUUUCGUGAAUUUUAUCUUCUACGUGAGAGUCAACUUCUUCAUAUAUCCAGUCCCCAUACAAUCUUUGGAUCUCUUCCACUUCCUCAUGCUUCAAUUUAUAUAUAUACAUAUACAAAUAUAUAAUCAGCCUCGUCCGAAGAGACCAAGUCAGCUAUUAGUCAAGGACUAGCUUGCCAGCCUAACUCGCCUAGCAUAGCUCUUGCUGCUCAACUCCUGCGCACUCAAACAUGUGGAACUCAUCUCUCCAGCCUUGCCAAAUCAAAAGGUCAUGUCCCUCUCCUACAUGGCCGAUACGUGAAGCCCAUCAAGUCUUUUCCACAUCAUGUCACCAAAUCCAUCAAGUCCAAUUGCUGCCUAGCUAGAAAGGUUAUCUCUACUCCCCAGCCACUCACCAGGACAAACCCCCCUCUUGCAGGAAAUGGGUACACUCCAAAACUCUACCAAAAUUUCUCCGCAACACCAUUCAACCUCUCCUCUUACGACUCUCUGCACGACCUCGAAUGCCGCCAUUCUCACCCUUCAACUUUUCAUUAUAUCAAUAUAUAUAUAUGAUCUCUUAAACAUGUUUGUAGCUUAAAUUAUGUAUGUGAUGGAAUAGAAAUUAAAUUAGGGUUUGAUCUUUAACUCAGCGUAUAAAAAUUAAGAUCGAUUAUAUCUCCUUUUACAAAUGAAACUUGUCUUUUAAGCACUGUGUUGUGAUUAACUUAAUGCACAUUAGAAGUAGUGGCCAAAAUCUGUGCAUAAUUUUUACUUCACUGAAUAACUAGAAUCUUAUCCAUGCAUAUCAAUCCCUUAUAACACAUCCAAAAAUAUCAUGAUCUAACUUCAAAAUCCUUUGCAGUACUUUUAAUGUAUGUCUCAAGUCUGACUAGAUCAAUGACAUUUUUUCUCCCUAUGAAACAACUGUUACAAGUUAAAAGUCAAAACAUACCAAGUGUUAAAACAUGUCAAAAUUAAUCAAUAUGAAACUUUAGCCUGCCAUAAACUUUUCUUUUUUGGGCAUUUUCGUUAGACUAAUUUUUGGAGAAAAUACAUUAUAUAAUGCAAUAAAGGUUAGGCUAUCGUUAUACCAGUUGACAAAACAUGUCACAGAUGAAGAACCAACAUCUGGUAUAAAUUGUAGCUCUCAGGGAUUGACAAUUUCGCUAAAAAAGACUUGACAUAGCCGAGGAUGCAGGGCCAACAAAAUCAUUACCUUACAUACUUGCCUAGCUUGGACAAAAGGCCAACCAAUCAUUAUGCAUUUCCAUGCAAUGGGUAGCCUGUUAAGCGGUCAAAAAUCAGGUAUAAAUACUCACUCCCACACUAUAGAUUUUUUAGACUUUUGUUAUCAUAAGCUAUUAUUUUCCUCUUCACAAGAACUCACGCUUCAUAAAUUUAGAAUUUUAUCUUCAUAAAUUUAGUUUUAGGAAUUUAGUAAAUUAGUUGGUGUAAUAUUUUUAAAAAAAAUUUACUUAAUAACAAAUGUAACUAACAAAAUGACUAUAUUAAUGAACUUCAAUUUACAAAAAUAAUUAUAAUAACGUUAAUUGUUAGACCUGAUUUUUAAAAUAUGAAAAGUAAAUAAACUAAAUUACUAAAAAUAAAAGUAAAGAAACUAAAUUUUAAAUUCAUAAAAAAUAUAAAGACUCAUGACAUAUUUUAAUCCCAUAUUCCAAAGUUUAGCUCAUCUGUUCGAAAAUCCAACCACUAACCUAAUUUAUGACAAGGAGUACAUAAAUAGUUAUAUUGUAUACUAAACAAUUAGUAAAAUAACAAAAUAUUUAUCUUAAACCUUUUUUACAGUGAUUCUUGGUUGGAUCUUUAAUAAUCUCUAUAUUUUACCUCUAAUAUACAUUUAUUGAUCUUACAAUUUAAGGUGAUCAUUGUUUGGGUGUGGAUUGUAGGAUUUGAGCUUAAAACACCGACAGUUUCUUUCAAGAGGAAAGGCAGAGGCUCAACGCUAAGUUCAGUGGAGUUGCCAAACUUUAAACCUUUAACAUUUUUAUCUAUUAUAGGGAUUGAACCAAAUUAGUUUUACUAUUAAAUAGGUUAAUGUGUAAAAUUUAUCACUAUACUUUAUUUUGAUUAAUAUUUUCCAUUGUACUUUAGGGUUAAAAAUUGAUAUACCACUAUGUUUUAACUUUAUCUUGAAUUUUGUAGUUUUAAUUUUUAUUGAUUUUUGUCGUUUUAAUUUUUUUAUUGAAUUUUAUCACUAAAAUUUAAUUUUUAUUAAAUUGUACUAUUUAAAUUUAAUUUAAAAUAAAUUGAAGACAAAAUUUAAUAAAAUAAUAAUUUAAUUUAAUACUUAAAUUAUUAAAUUAAUCUAACACUGAAAAUUAAUAAAAAAUAUUUAUAUAUAAAAAAGUAAACUUAAUAUUUUUAAAAUUUUUAUUUUCAAGUAUUUCUUUUAAUAAAUAAAAUUCUAAAUAAAAUUUACUAUUUUUAAUAUUUAUAAAAUAAUUAAUAUUAAUUAUUAAAAUAAAAUUUUAUUGUUAAAAUUUAUUUUUAAAUCAUCAAAAUCAAUAUUAAGUAGUAAAAGCUAAUUAAAAUUAAAAUUAAUGAAAAAAUUAGUAAAAUUAAAAGUUUAGUGAUAAAAUUCAAUCACAUGAUCGUUGUGAGGAAAAUUUAAUCAUAUUUAUAAAAUAUAAUGACAAGUAUUAAUCAAAAUAAAAUAUAAUGAUAAAUUUUAAUAUUCACCAAUAGUGUGGUGACAAACUUACAUUUUAACUCAAGCUUAAUUUUUGUAUUAUUAAAAAGAAUCAAAUAAUUGAAAUAAAAUUAACAUUUAUUAUUAAAAAAACUUAAAAAUUAUUUUUUAGUUUUAUAGUUGAAUUUCAAACAAAAUAUUUUAUUGUAAAAUCAUAAAAAGCUUUAAAAAUAUAACUAAUUACAUCUUUUAAACAAUAGAUAUUAGAUCCCUUGAAAUUUAACCCUUUUCUGUUUCUUUUCAAUAGUUUAUGGGAUAAAUUAAUUAAUUUAAUAAUAAAAUAAUUAAUUUAAUUCGAUCUCUAUAAUAAAAGACUUAUCAAGUACAUUUCAGAUUAAUUUUGAAGAUUAAAUUAAAAUGUUUAAAAGUAUUAAAUAAAUUUAAUAUAAAAAAUUUUAAGUUUUUAUAUAAGAAAAAACAUCAAGAAAAAUGUCAGGUUGACUUUGUCUAUUAGACAGUUAACUAUUGCAAGCAACAUGCAAUGUAAAAUUUUCAUUUUAUUUCGGAGAUAGGAAUAGGGAUCAGCGGAAUUCUGUUUAAAAUAAAAACCAGUAAUUUCCAAAAAUUUUCGCGUCAAAAUUUCCGCCAAAUAACAACAAUGGCUUCCUUUUUUUUUUCUUUCAAACAAAGCAAAAGCGUAUAGCUUCAAUGGAUAACUCCUCGGGACUCUGUUAAAAGUGUUGUAAUCUAAGAGACCAAAGCUUCAAACUUUUAAAGCCCUUUGAAGACAAAUACAUUUUGCUUUGAUUUACCUACCAGCGAUGUUGGAACCAUCUUCUCAAAAACCCAAUUUCUUAAUCCCACAGGUGUCGCCAACUCCGGCGGCUCCACCGCCUCCAAUGGCACAACCACCUCCACCACCACCGCCACCUUCUCUAGUACGCACCUACUCCGACAAGUUACUGUCUCUUCUAUCCGAAAGACCUUCCCUUAGGGCGACUUCGGAGUUCGACAGUGACAGCCGUGUGUUCUUUCACAAGGUGUCGUGUAAGCUGUUCGACAACCUGGCCAGUCUCAAAUUGUCGUUCAUCAACGAUAGCAAACGCGAGAUCUCGGAACCGCAGUUGAUGUUAACGUCAAAGUACUUGUCAAUCCAUUACGAUCCUGAUGAACAAAAUGCCCUCAUUAGGACCUCUUUUGACGUGGGUCCCAUGUUGAAUUUCAAUGUUGCCCAUGAUCUCAAGGUUUGCCCCUUUUUUUUGGUUUAAAAACACAUAUAUAUUUACUUAGUGGUGUUGAGUUAGUUGGUUGGCAUUGUCAAUGAAAAUUAUAUAGUUUUUGUUUACUCUUUUAUUGAGAUGCAUGGGAGGUUUGAGAGAUUGUUUUUUUGGUAAUAUUUAAUAAGAUGCAGCCCGAUUUGUGCAUUGGAGGUGCAAGUUUUCAUGAAAUUGAUGAGGGGAUUUUACUGAAAUUUUCUCUCAUAUUGAUUCUUGAAGACCAUUUUGUUCAUCCUUUUGCAUUUGGAUUUUCAUCUUAAAAACCUCCAUUUUCUUUUAGAUGAUGUACUUUUUGGAAUCUGAAAAUUGUUAUUGCUUCUGGAGUCAAUGCUAUCACUAGGGGUGUUAAAAGGUGGCAUUGUUGCUCUCAAGCUAUUUGAGAGUUAUUGACUUAAACUUGAGCUAUUAAUCAAAUCAAAUUUGAGCGGUUCCUAAGUCUAAUCAAACAUUUUGUUUUAAUAUUUUUUUAUAUUAUAAAAUUACAUUUUUAUUCUUGUUAUAUAGAAAGAGCUUAAGUACAAACGAGCUUAAUUGAGCUUGAGUUCGAUCUUAAGUACGAAAAUUUAUAAGCAAGCUUAAUCCAGUUUGAUUAAGUCUUGACCCAAGCUCUAGCUUAAAAAUUAAUGUUUAUUCAAGUUUGAAUAUUGAGCUUUGAGUUUCAAGUUGAGCUUGUGCUUGUCACUUUCAGGUUUGGUUCGGCUCAGUUACACCCCUAGCUAUCACGGUUGUUAUUUUGAAUAUUUACUUCAAGCGACAUGUGUUGUCCCUUUAAUAUUUGUAUUUUUCUCAGGCACAACAAGGUGAGGUGUCUAUGUAUGCAAGCCUUCCCAGUCCCGGCUUUGGUGUCCAAGUAUCAUCUUCUUUUCCAUAUUCUGGUUUGGUGAGUACUAUUUUUGUCCUAAGUAUCUUCCUGUAAUAAUCAACCAUUUAUAGCAUUAAGUUCUAGACAAUUGGAGACUUAAAUACCUUAAUGUUCUUAUACUGAUAGGAUGACAGCACUUAUUCAUAUUAGUCCCAUCAAAUAUUUAUCUGAACAUAGAGUUUGAAAAAGUAUCAGGUAAUUCCCGUUCAGCCGGUUUUCCUGGUUCUGACUAUAGUUUUCAAAGGUGCAACCUGUGCUUAGGCAUUAGAAUCCUUGUGUUUCUUGAGGCAUAAGGCACAAAAGAACACAAAAGAAAAAAGCUAACUUAAGUGAAGUAAGACACAAUAUGUAAUAAUGUGUGAUUUGUUACUUUUGUAUAUGUAUAUGUGUGUGUGUGUUUUGCCUACAGUCUUACAAAAAAAUGCGUCCGAGUCCACCAGACAUAUGUCCGAUCAAAUGUAUGCUGCUUGAAAGGAUAAGAUGCUUUUGUUGUUUGACACUUAGAUACAGUACAUAGGUGCAUGCCUUAACAUGUGUCUGAUUACUGGUAUUACUGUUGUAUUUUCUUGCCUAUGCAUUAUCACCCGUCCACCGCGCUUCUUUUCCGCUUUAAUAUAUUUAAACAAGGUUGUAGCCUCUCUCUUUUUUGCCCUCUAAUUACCUUCUGUUACUUUCCUCUCGCUGCAGCCUAGAGCAACGAUUAGAUUCCCGAUGGGUGAAGUUACAUUGGAGGAGAGAGAAGAGGCGGAUGUACUGAGAACAUUGUCGGUAAAGGGAAUUCUUAGAGGUCAAAUUUUAAACGGGGUCUGUUCCGCUCAUUACGUUGAUGAAGAACUGAAAUUAAGAUACAUAUAUAAGGUGGUUAUUCCUCAUUGUUAUAAAAGCUCUGCUUCUGUUCCUGUUUAUGUGCAAAAUUUUGAGUUUGUGGGUGUUUUCUUUUUACUAGAUGGUUUCGAUGUUUUUAUCGAAUUGCAGGAUCAAGCAAUGUCGUUUAUCCCUAGCAUUUCGAUACCGUCGAAUGCUGUAUCAUUUGCAUUCAAGCGGCGUCUCAGUCCAUCUGAUAAACUGAGGUUAGAACGCUGCCAUUUCUUCUAUUUUGCUCAGGACAUACCGAGCUCUUUCCGCAGUGGUGUCUGUUUUAUCGAAGUGUUUUUAUGAUCGGUUUUCGAACUUAUCCGCAGCUACUGGUACAAGCUUUAUUCGAACAACUGGAGUGCUGUGUACAAGCACACAUACAAGAAAAGCUUCAAGCUCAAAGCUGGAUAUGAUUCAGAAGUCCGUCUCGGUUGGGCUUCUAUAUGGGUAAGUUCUUUCUAUUGGCCGAACUUUGUCAUCCUCGAAAGCAAGGCUCUCGUUAUUUACUCGAAAUAACUCCAAAUAUCCUCGUUUCAGGUUGGAGACAAAAACGGCAGGGCAAGGACAGCCCCGAUGAAGAUGAAAGUCCAGUUUAUGUUACAGGUACCGCAGGAUGACAUUAAGUCAUCGACGCUAAUGUUCCGAGUUAAAAAGAGAUGGGAUAUAUUGUAGUGUAGUCCCGUGCCUGCGACAUCCUCGUCUCGUUUCUCUCUUUAUAUUUGCAUAGUUUCUUUUUUCCUUUUACGACGCUUGGUAAUGAUGCUAACUGUUAUAUAAUCACGUCAUUAUAUAUUUUGAUCAUAUCUACUCUUUUUGAGACAAUGUUUAAAAGUAUUUAUAGCCCUCUCUUCAACUCAUAAAUAGAAGGACAAUCUCAUACAUUAACAAUAAUGCCCAUACUAAUCAAGACUCAAUCGGCAAUGAGAUAUUAGUUAAAUAUUCAUUAUAUACUUAUUACAUGAAUGGUUUAAGUUUGAUGUAUUAAACAAAUUCUUAUAAUUAAAUUUGUGAUUCAUUAUAUACUUGUAAAAGAAUAAUGCAAGUGCACAUGAUUUAAAUAUUCAUUUAGUCCCUAAAUUUGUUAUUCACCCUCAAGUUAGUACUUAUGAUUCUAAGUUGGCACUCAGAAUUUUUAUUUUGUGAAGUCUUUUGGUAAUUUAUUGCAGUGAUGUUAAGUUUGGUACGUGACAUUUUUAGACUAUAAUACAUGGUAAUGUUGAUAUUAUUAUGAUGUUAUAAUUCAUUUAAAAAAAAAUAAAAUCUUAUUAUUUAAAAAAUUAUAAAAUUUUUGAAAUUAUAAUUUUUUAAAAUAAUUAGAAAAGUUAGAAAACUAAAAAUAUAUAAAAAUAUAUACGAAUUUAAAAUGUUUUGUUAAUAACAUGAAUAAAAUUAUUAAAAUAUUAUUAAAUAAAUAGAAUGGGAUAUAGAAUAUACAGAUGCAGUGAGAAAAAAAUUCUGUUAACAUCAAUCUGAUUUAAAAAGAGAUAAAUACAUAAAUUCCUAUCUUUGGCUAAAGUAAAAUUCACAAAGAAACAUCCUGAAAAUUGGGAAGAAAGCUACAAUUAGAGGCAAUCCACUAAACGAUAACAGGCUAAAGUUUGUUUACCACCAUAACUGCUGCUAUCAAAACUUUGCUGCAAAUGCCUUUGCAUAUCAUACGCCCUAGAUGAAACCCAUCGCAGAUAAUCGCCGGAAGUAGAUGGAAUCGUACUGUCCAAAUGAAGCGCCCUUUCAACCUCCUCUUUCUCACCAUCAUCAACAUCAUCAUCAUUACUGCCACAACCAUCUUCUUCUUCUCUUCUCUCAUCCCCACCGUUGAAUUUACAAUCAACAACUCGACUCAAUCUCUCUUUAGGCAUCACAUUGAAGAAAGACGACAAGCGAGAAAGAUGCGUAUUGGUGGCAAUGGAAAACUUUUAUGUAUUUUUAUAUAAUUAAAUUUGUAUAUAUUUGUAUAAUUUUUUUAAAAAAAUUAAAAUAUCAAAUUAUGACAUCAGCAUUACCGUCACUAAUUAAAAAAACAUGUACUAAAAUUAACACCGUUACAAAAAAGUAUUAAAAGUCCUUACGGAAUGAAAAUUCGGUACCAAUUUGAGACAAAAAAAAAAUUAUAAGUACCAACUUAGAAAAAAGUGACAAAUCCAGGGGCUAAAUGAGUAUUUAAGCCAAUGCAAAAAAGUUCCAUGCAUUUACAUUGCCAUUGUUUUCAUGUAGAGGGUUAGUUUAUCCAAUGUAGCAUAGAUUUCCUCUGUUCUCUUAUGAGACUUAUCGUAUGCAAGAAAUACGUGAACAUCAUCCCUGUCUUCUAUCCAACUACAUCCUGGGAUCUUAUACAUCCCAAUAUCUUUAAUUUUUUGUCUUGUUCUUGCUAGAUCAGACCAUUUUCCAGCAUAAGCAUAUAAGUUUGCCAAGAGUACAUAGUUCGCGGUAUUAUUUGUUUCCAACGCUAUAAGUCUCUCGGCUGCGACUUCUCCCAACUCGAUGUUGUCAUGAAUAACACAGCCGCUAAGCAAGGUACCCCACAUCACUGAAUCAACUUCCACCGGAACGCUCUUGAUUAGUUCAUAAGCUUCAUUAAGCUGACCAGCUCGACUAAGCAGAUCAAUCAUGCAUGUAUAGUGUUUUAUAGUGGGUUUGACAUCAUAGUGCUGCAUCAGAUUGAAUAAUUCCCGGCCCAUCUCGACUGACCCAACGUGAACACAUGAAGAAAGAGCUGAAAGGAAAGUGACAUGAUCUGGCCUACAACCAUUUGUUAUCAUUCUUCUAAACAGAGCAAUUCCAUCCUCCCCGUUUCCAUGCAUGGCAUAUGCUGUUAGCAUAGCAUUGUGGGACACCAAAUUUGGGUCUAAGAUUCUAUUAUAUGCUAGUACUGCAUGAUGUAUACUCCCACAUUUGGCAUACAUAUCCACAAGGGCUGCCCCUAUGUAGACGUCAGCAUCAUAACCGCAUCGAACUGAAUGUGCAUGAACCUGCUUUCCCCGCUCGAUGGUGGCUGACCUUGAACAAGCAGGUAAAACUAUUCCAAUAGUGUAAAUGUCAGGCCUUAUAUUUGAAAUCUGCAUUUCAGAGAACAAUUGCAUGGCUUUAUCAGGGUGGUCAUUUUCCACAUGACCUGCAAUGAUACCGUUCCACGUAUAAACAUUGGGCUCGAAACCAUCUUCUUUCAUUUUUGUAAGCAGAUGCUGAAGGUCUUCGAUCUGAUUGCAGCGGGAAUAGCCAGAUAUCAGAGCAUUCCACGUUGACGUAUCACGCUCGCUCACUUCAUUGAAAGCAGUUUGUGCAGCCAUUAUGUCUUGACAUUUACAGUACAUUUCUACCAAAGCUCCGCCAACAAAGGUAUUAUAUUGCAGGCCUCUAAUAAUGGCUUGAGAGUGUAUCUCUUUCCCGCGUCUCAAAGAAUAUGUGUCCGUACAAGCAGUUAGAACACUCCCUAGAGUGAAAGAAUUGGGUUCGAUCCCAUCUUCUGUAAGAACAUGUUUAAAUAAGUUCAAAGCUUCAUCAAACAGGGAAUUAUUUACAUAUCCAGACAUCAUCGAGUUCCAUGAAAUUAGAUGUUUCUUGAUAGCCAUUGUCCUCAUCUGAUCGAAUAGCUCCUUGGCCUUGGAGACAUUACCAUUUUCACAAUACCCAACAAUCAUUGUAUUACAAGAGACCACAUUUUUCAGUGAGAACUUUGAAAACAAUUGGAAAGCACUCGUCAUAUCACCACACUUCCUAUACACAUCAAUUAAUCCAUUGACAACAAUGGGGUUAGACAUGAACCUAUGCCUCGUGAUAUAUCCAUGAAAUUCUUUGCCAAGGAUCAGCUUCUGUAAUCUAGCAAAAGCUGGAAGAACACUUGCUAGAGUCUGUGCGUUUGGUUCAAUGCCUUCUCUGACCAUUCUAAACAACAUCUCAAUGGCUUCUUCAUCAUAUCCAUUUUGCGAGAAACCCCCAAUGAUUGCACUCCAAGAAACAAGAUUUGGUCUUGAAUUUUCGCACAAAGACAUUGGUUCGAAAAAACCCAAUGCUUCGAACACCUGUCCAUUGAUAGCACAAGCGGUAACAAUAGCAUUCCAUGACACACGAUCUUUUUCAGGCAUUGUCUCCAACACCUUCUUAGCAUCGUCCAAGCUUCCACAUUUACCAUACAUAUCAAUCAAAGCAUUACCUACAUAAAUAUUAGAAACAAACCGAUAUUUAAUCAAAAUCCCAUGCAAUUGUCUUCCUAAUUCCACGUUACCAAGGCCACUACAAAUUUUUAACACAACGGGAAACACGAAAAAAUCCAAUAAAACAUUGUCGAACUGUAAUUUCUCGAACAGACAAAAAGCUUCUUCAAAAAGCCCGUUGUCAACAUACAAGCUAAUCAUAGCUGUCCAAGAAUACAAGUUUCUCAGCGUCAUUUUAUCGAACAACAAUUCCGCAUCACCCAAACAACCAAACCUUCCAUACAUUUGGAGCAACUUGGUGUCCACAAACUCCUGCCCGGAAAACCCAGUUUUAAAAGUAUGAGCAUGGACCUGUUUCCCAAGUCUGGGGUUAUUGCAAGAUUCGAGAAUUGAAGCAUAGUUGCUUGAACUUACUGGUUUAUCAAACAAGGAAAGGGUGUUGGGCAUGUGAGAGUGAGGUUUGGGAAGGUUUUGGUUCAGUGGUGGUGGGAUGGCGAUGGAUUCCAACACUUGAGAAAUCAUUGUAUUAUUUUGGGUGUGGGCGGCAGGCCAGUAGCCAGCUCAAGUACCUGAAACGGAAAGCAAGGGAAAUUGCUAACAUGUGCAGUAAUAGUAACAAAUGACAAGGUGCCCCAAAUUAUAACGCUGUCACUGUCAGGUGUCAAUUCAUCUUAGAAAGGAUAAUUCAUGGGUCAGUUUGGUUACAGGGACGCCAUGCCCUAAAUUAUGGUCGAAGCGAAAAUAUAAAGGUUAAAUGCUUUAAUAAUUUUAAUUUUUAUAUUUUUUAUAUUCUUAAAUUUUAAUAUCACUUUAAAUGUAGCAAUUAAAUCUGUUUUUAUUAAUAGCAUAUUAUAUAUAAGUUUGUGAAUUUAAUCAUUUUUAAUUUUUAUACUUUUUAAAGUUUAAAUUUUAAUUCUAUCUCAAACAGCAAUUGUUAAACUCAUUAACUAAAGAAAAAAUAUUUGGUACACUUACACUCCACAAGUAGAAUUAGGAAUUGACAAGUAUCAUAUAAUAGUAUAAUAAAAUAUUAAAAAAUAUACAAAAAUUUCUUAAAAUUACUUGUAGAAUAAAAAAAAUAUAUUGUUAAGGUAUCAAAUACUAACCCUUAACUAAAAUAAUAUUUUUUUAGUAUCAUGUAAAAAUAACAAGCAUAUAUGAUAGUACAUAUUGUGUUUGACCCUUAAGAAUUUUGAAAAUAAUAAAAUUGAACUUAACAAAUAUAACGAUUUUAUUUUAAGUCAAGAUGAAAUUUUAAAAUUAAAAAAAUAUGUAAUUUAAAAGUGUUGUUUAUAAAUAUUGAUUAACAAUAAUUAAAUUAUUUUUACAUUUAAAUAAUUUUCUAAGAAUAAGUUGAUUCAUACUGAAAUUAUAACUUAAUUAAUUUAGGAUUUAGCAUUAUUAUUGGAGUAGAAAAUUGUUACUCAAGAAUUACUUUACUUGAAAGUUGUUUGAUUUUGGUUCAAAAAUUUGUGAUAUUUAAAGUUAUUUUAUAAAAAAAAAAAUAAAUUAUUAAAAAAUGGGAAUAAAAGCUUUUGAAUAGUAAAAAAAAUAUUAUACAAUAGUGAUUUUAAAUGUUAAAUGACUUAAAUAAAAAAAAUUUAAAUAAUACAAUCAUUAUUUUGUAAUUUUUAAAAUUAUAUAAUUAAAAUGUAAAAUUACUAAUAAUUUAAUAAUGUUAGAUUAAUUUACAAUUUAAAAAAAAAAUUAUGGAGGCCAUUAGAUAUUACAUUUUAUUGCCGACAAAUUGAUUCCUUGGGGAUGGUUGAAAAUGUUGCCCAUCUCUUUCCCAAUUUCAUGACAUUAAAACAAAGCCAAUCGAUCCCAAUGAAUUAAAAAAAGAAAAGAAACACACUGUAUUACACACCAUGAGAGAAAAAUUAUGUAAUAAGUUUAUAAUAAAAAAUUAAAUAUUGUUUUAAUUAAAUUGAUAAUGUUAAAAAAUAGUGAAUGUAAAGAUAUUUUUUGUUUAAUUUUUUUAUUUGUAUAGAUAUUAUAUAAAAAAUAAAAAUAUUCUCAUAAAAUAUUUAUUAUUUUAUAUAAAUAAUAAAUUUUGAUAAAUUCAUAAUUAAAUUGAAAUGUAAUUCAUACAUUACAUCAAUCUAUUCAAAAUUUUAAAUAAUAAAAUACAUAUAAAAGAUAAAAUAUCAUAACUAUAUUUUAUCUUUUAAUACCUAAGGUCUACAAAUAUUCUAAGUGUACACAAUAUUAUUCUAUAAUAUAUAGGAAUGAUAGAAUCUUUAGAACAAUCUUUGAAAAAUAUUGCUAAGGUGGAGAUUAUUAUUAUUAUUAUUAUUAUUAUUCCGCACAGUUUCCAAGCAGAAUGUUUACGCAAAGGUCCAAUUUCAAAUAAAAUAUUUAUAUAAUAAAAUAUGAGAAUCAAAAUUAAUAAUAAUAUAUUAUAAUCAUAUUUAUUUUUUUACACAAUAUUUAAAAUUAUUUAUAAUUUCUCUUAGAUUUAAUUUAUACAUAAAAAAAAAUUAAUACACUCAAAUUUACUAUCUUUUAUUCAUGUUUUUAAAUGAAAAAAUAUGGACUAACAAUGCAACCACCCAAAAAAAUUCAACCAAAACACUAAUCUGUUCGUAAAACAUAUGAUCGAAUAACCAAAAAUCAAAAUGCAGCAAAAGUGGUUCAAAUUUGAGAGUUAUUAUUAAGAGAUUAUCUGAAUACAAGUCUGGGCCCUAACUCAAACAUCAAACUAGGUUGUCAUUAGUGUCACUGAUCUUGUAAGAAAAAGAAAACCCUACUUCUUCCUCUUUAACCAUGUUAAUAUUAACGUAGGCUGUUUUCAUUUCACCAAUGUCCAGUAGAUUCUCCCUGUUCUUUGUCCUCUUCCAAUUCGUUCAUAGUGUUCAUUGGAACCUGCUUCGAUUCCUCCAUUACGGGAAACAAAAGCCUUUCACCAUUUUCUUCUACCCCUUGAUGAUUCUCAUCAUAACCAGUUCCAAAUCCAUCACUAGAAAAUUUUAGACCGGGGUCUAGAACUGGGAACCCACUUGAGUAUAUUCCUGUGUUGGCAUCACCAAUCUCCGGCAUAAAGGGCAGCCUUUGCGAGCUAUUGUAAGCCUCAGCUGGUACUACUGGUGGAUAUGCUAGGUUAAUGACUUGAUGAUGAUCACCUUCAUGGAUCUUAGGGUUUUGAUGAGUCAAAUGAUCAUCAUCGAGCUUCUUUGAUGAUGAUGUCUUGUUCUUCCUUGAACCACCACCAACGGGAACAUUCCUUAAGGAACCACCAUGGGUCCAGUACCUUCUACAAGUCUUACAGAAGUAUCUUGGCUGAGAAAGGCUGUAGUUGUUAUAAUAACAAAACUUAGUGUUUGUUGAAUUGCACCUUGGACAGUUCAAAUUAGCCUCACUACCUUUUUGAACCCUACCUGAAGAUCUUGAGUAUCCUCCUAUGGCCAUGGGCUUAGUUACCCCAAUUCCCUGGAAAUACAUGAGUACUUCAUCAUCAUCAUCAUCAUAAUAAUAAUAAUAGAUUAAUAGUAACUUUUAUCAUUUCAACUAUAUAUUAGUGGGACUGAACUGAACUCAAACAAGAAUCAUCUCAUGGCUAGAAAAAGGUGAAACUUUAAAGCUAGUUAUCCAUGAGAAAAGGGGAAAAUGAAAAAAACUCAAAACCCAAAGCCAUAUAUAUAAUGAUGAAUUCAUAUGAAAAACAACAAAAAUUAAAGAAGACCCUUCACUUUACCUCUUCCCACUGAGUGGCCUCCAUGGAUUAAGGAGUGAGAAAUAAAAAGCUGAUUAGCCUUUGGCAAUCCCCUGCUGAUCUUAAAAGCCAAAAGAAAAAACUAUAUAAAUAAAAGGACGAAAAAGACUUCGAGAGCUGGCCUACCACCACUAUAAAAUGAAAGAAAGAGGGCAUUUGAAACAGGGACUAUUUCGUCUUUGUGUUGUUAUCUCAUUAUCAUAAGAAGUAACAAUGGCUACAGUCUUAAAGUCUAAAAAUAUGGAAACUUCGAAUAUAUACCUGAUUUUUGAAGGUCCUUUUUUAAAUUGUGAAAGAGGAAAAGGACAAGUUUAGGUACAAGUGAUGAUCGGUUUGUUCCAAGUUUUAUAGAUAAAAAAAAAUCAUUGACAUUGAACCCAGCAAAAGUUAUAGGACCGACUUUCCUCAUUGAAAUCGACAUUAAUUCAAUUCAAUCAUCUAUUAAUGUAUUAUUCUUCCCAAAAAAAAAACUUUUAAAAAGUUAUUACAUUUAUAUGUUUUUAAAUGUGGAUAAAUUAUACUCAGUGUCAUUAAAUUAUUAAUAAGUUUACAUUUUAGUCACUUAAUUUUAAAAAGUUAUAAAAUGGUCUGAACUACUCGAAAGUUUUCAUUUAAGUAAUUGGGUUGUGAAAAUCGCUGUUAUAUGGCCUUCUCUAUGCGCACUACCUACACUAACCAAAAAUUUUGCCGAUUAUCUUCUACAAUUUAAAAAACUUUUAACGUCACGAAUAUGCGACCAAAAUCCAAAUAGCUUUCUUUUUUAUUUCCUACACUGACCAUUGAAUCGACUUGGAUUUAAUGUAUAUUCUUUUUACUAGUCAAUGUGUACUGAUCCAUCGUACCAGUCAUCAAAUCAUCAAUUAAAAUUAGCAAACUAAACUUUUUUUAAGAAAAGAAAACUUAACAACCGAUAACAUAAAUAAAAACUUUUAAAUAAUUUAGUGACUUAAAUGAAUUUUUUUUUUAAAUUUAGUAACCAUUUUGCAACUUUUUUUAAAUUAAGAAACUAAAACAUAAACUUAUUAAUAGUUCAGCGAUCUUGGAUAUAGUUUAUCCUAUAUAUAUAUUAAUAUUCUUAUUCAAAUCCAAUUAUUAAAUCAUUAUCCAAUUAAACUCAUAUAUUCAAUAAAUUGCAUAUAUUAAAUUUACAGCAGAUUUGUUUUCCCAGGAAACCGGUGGAUUUCACAUUCACUUAGCAUUGAAGCUUUAAUCCAGUCCGAGCCCAGAUAGUGUGAUGAGACUAGCAUUGUAAAUUGGGUGGGUUAGAUUGUUUUAGAUUUGAAUAAAUUUAGAUACUAUCCAUCUGGGCUUUCUCAAAUAAAUUUUGGGUUUAAAUUAUUUUCAAGUUAUAAGUUUGAAAUUUUAGAGUUAUUAUCAUUUUAGAGUUGAAUAGUUUGAGUUUGAGUUUGAAUUAUUGACUUGUUAAAUAUACUUGAAUGUCAAAAUAACAUGAAGGCCUUUAUACUAAUAGUUAGAGUACAUUUUGUCCCAUUAAAAAUAAGUUAGUCUCUAUACAUUAGAUUAAAGAGAAAAUUGACCCUCAUGUUGAAGUAUAGAGAUUAUUUUUUAACAGUAGAAAUGAAUGAAAUUUUUAAUAGAAAAAUCAAAUUACUCUUUCAUAUUUGAGCAAAAGGAACAAAAUAUUAUUCUAACUCCUAGUAUAAAAGCUUACCUGAAUUUAAAUAAAUUAAAAUUCGAUAAAUUAAAACGAGACCAUGAGAAAAGUCCAAAUUCAAAUACCCUCAGUAGUCCAAGUUCAUAGCCCAUUUUAUGUGGCCUCUGUGACUGUCGUGGGCUUAAACGGAAAGUUGAAGAGUUCAUGUAAAAAUGGGCCAUAAUUGAAAAUUGUAUUAUCUCAUAAUAUGUUGAUUUCAAUGAAACUUGGGUAUUGAUGGUAGAUGUUGAAGUAUUUUCGUUACGCACAAUAUUAAUCUUUAAAUCUCGUCAAAUAUGAAAUUUCUGUACAUUUCGAGAAAGUUUCAAAUGAUGACAGUACUGUGUAUCUCCCUCUCAACCAACACAGAUUUCAAAACAUUAUGAGUUUUGAUUAAACCACUUAUGGACCACCUUAUUGGUUCAGAUUUCAAAAACACAAGAAAAAAAGGGUUUCUGUUUAUUCUAGUAGGGUGGUCCAAAAUGUAAGGCUUUUGUAAUAAAUUGUACAGCGAAAGCACAACAUAAGCAUUAAGAGUGUGAGUGGAGAGGUAUCCGCCGUCAGAUUAGAAUCAGAUGAACAACCACAAGAGAGGUGGUCCGAUUUUCAUCACCGUUGUUAAGCUGCCAUCGGAUAAAACCCCACAAUAAAAGGCGGUGGUCCCUCCUUCACUGUUUCACUGUUUCGUUGUUUUAAUAUGCUGUGAACCGGGAAAUUUUUACCUACUUCUAGGUAACGUCUUAGGUAUGUUUUAUUGUUUUAAUUGCUUGUAAUUAUUGGGUGUUGUCAAAUUAUACUUUUUAAUUAUAAGAUAUUAGGUGAAAUUUUGAGUAAUAACGUAAGUAAUAUAUUAAAAUUUAAUUUUUUAUAAAAAAAAUUUUAAAUUAUAAAAAUUAUAUUAUAAUCAUAAAUAAGUACGAGUAUUUAAAAUCUUAAAAAUAUUAUAAAAAUAUUUUAUAUAUUUUUAAAAUUAUAUUAUUUAAAUUUUAAAAAAUUUAACAUUGUAUUGAACAUGUUAUAAAAGUAUUAUUAUAUAUUUAUUUAUAAAAAGUUGUGAUCAAGUAUGGACAUAACUUAUUUAUGUAUUCAUAUUAUAUAUUAUAUUCAUAAAAAUGUUAUAUUUUUUUUCAUAACUUAAUUAUAAAAAAUAAUUUUUUAAAGUUAUAGAAAAUUUAUACUAUCUAUAAGAAGUAUUAUGAAAGUUUUGAAAAAUUAUAUAUUUUUUAAAAGAUUAUAUGAUAUGAAUUUUAUAUUAUUUUUAUAAAAAUGAAUUUGACCUAACAUAAGUUUUUUCUCCGAAUUAAGUUUAUAUAAGUUUUUUAUAAUUAAAGUUACAAACUAUUUGGACUAUGAACUUAAAUAUUAUAAGGUUGAUGCUAAUUAUAUAAAUAGAAAAUAUUUUUUUGCACUAUAUUAUAGGGUAUGAUACCAUUUGAGAGAAUGAUGCCAGACAUAAACAUCAUAGGCAACUCGCGAACUCUUUAAUUUCAAACAUUCGAGGCUUCAAAAUAUGGUUAAUAAGACAAUUGUUGUUUUAAAAAAACAUUUAUCAUAUUAACAAGUCACCUUAGUAUACCAUAAAAAUCAAUGUUAGAUCGUAUUAACAUGAUGCAUAUUUCAUAACUUCAAUCACAAGGGGAAUUAAAGACAACCCAUACUUUGUAGAGUACGUGAGAGAAGGAGAUAUUGAUAAUUUUAAUGAUGUGGAUUCAAAUUUAGAUAAUGAUUAACUUAGUCAAUGACCAGCAUAUAAUGAUAAGAAGUAUAUGUUAAAUAUUAAAAGGGAAUAACCCAACCAAUAUGCAAUAGAAAAAUUAGAUAAAAUUGCAUAUGAUGUUUACUUUUCUUGCUAUUAUUAUUAGUAAACGUAUUAUUGACUACUUUUUUAGACUAACAUAACAUAUAUGAUGAUUUGGUUUUAAUUUUUGUUACUUGUUUAGAAAUUAUUUUUAUCAUACUAAUUUUUUUAGUAGUUAAUAUUUAAAAAUAAAUAAAUUUUGUAAAUGUGUAAUUAUAACUUGUAUUACCAGACGUGACAUAAAGAAUUAAAUAUAGUUACACUUUGUUAACCAAACAUGUAUAAGGAAUUGCAAUUCUUUAUAAUUAUAAUAAAAAAUAAUUACUACCUUAAUAAUUAGACUUUCAUUCAAUUACUCUAUAUUGUCCAAAAAAAUCUUAGUUUUUCUUUCGGUGUUGCAAGGUCUAGAAAAAGGCGAGGAUGUAUUCAAAAUUCGUACUAUUUUUCAUAAAGUACAAAAUAUAAUGUUGUUGCAUUACAACUAGGAAUCGAAGGAAAAGAAGAGCUUAAAUAUGAUAUUAUAUAUAUAUAUCACAGAAGAAUUUGUUUUUUAAGAAAAAUUUCUUAGUAUUUUCUUUUUAUUUCAGAGAUAAAUAUGAAAAACAUAGUUGUUUGUGUAUGCAAUACGUUGUUGAGGGGGUCGUCUUUUUUUAGAAGUUUUCAAAGUGUCGUUUGUCAGGCAAUUGACCAAUCUCCCAACAACCGAAUGGAUUGUCCCUUAGACGUGUCGUCUCUCGUACUUUGCCAGAGCUAGUGUGUCGUGUGGCUAUCCUAAAGGCCUAGUUCACAGAGUUGAGAGCGCUUUGACUGUUCGUGAGCGUCUCACCGUUGGUGGGGUUCGACCCCCUAAUCUAUGGUAUAUAGGUCACUUGUUGGGGAAGUUGGUACUGCUUAAGUUACAUGAUAAGUGUCAAAAGUAACAUAUUUUAGCCUCAUUUUUUAGUGCAUUUUUGGGUGAUUAUGUGGUGCUACUUUUUAAUUGUAUACUCCUAAUCCUUUAUAUUCAUGUUUUGAUGUUUAAUAGAGCACUUGAGAGCAAUAGAGUGAAAAACGGAUGAAAAUUAGAACAUUUGAGCAGUCCGAAAGCUAAACAAAUGCAAUAGAGUUUCACACGUGCAGACCACAGAGCCAUGUGACUCAAACAGGCGUGUGGAUUUCAAAAACCGUGUGCGUUGACAACUAAAAGUGACGAUUUUUAGGGUUUUUUUUUUGCACUUGGAGAAGGUAUAAAAAAAGAAUACAAGAGGAGGAAAGCAGCCGUAAUAGGAUAGCAAAAAAUUACCCAAAGAACACCAUUGAAGUCGAUUUCCAAGCAAUUUGCCAUCAAGGUUAAAGAGUUCAAACUAAUUUUUGAGGGAGUUAUCAUGGAUUUCUUUUAUUUUAAUGGUUAUAUUGUAUUUUUGUUGUCCAUUUGUGCAAUUAUAAACUAAUUCUCUUAAUACCUAGGGUGGAUGAACCCUAGAAUGGAUUCUAUUUCUUGAUUUCUAGUUUUAUGCAAUAAAAUCUUAGUUUAUUUGUUUUCAAUUAUGAAUGCUUAAUUAUUCUUGAGUUGAUAAUUCUAUGGUGUUGAUCCAUGUUUGAUGUGUAUAAUUCUGAGGUUGAAUAGACCAUUCUUGUUAUUAUGUCUUACAUAAUUGAAUGGAGUUGCAUACAAUCCUGAAAACAGAACAAUAUAAACUCUCUAAAGGAUAAUACUUUUGAUUGUUAAGAGAUCAAUCGAUUACCUGAUGAACGAUAUUUCAAAAAUUUCUCAUUGAUUAAAUGGUAGCAAAUAUGCUCAUUGACAUCCUUCAAAGUUUGAAUUCUAAUUAUACUAAUGACAAUUUACCUAUCAUUUCUUUGAUAGGGAUUAACCAAGCGCUUUCACUCCAUAAAUCAUUGAACAAAGGGAAAGGUAAAAAAUCCCCUCAUGAUCAAUAGUCACUUAAAUUAAAAAUAAAAGAAAGAAAAAAAAAACACCAUCCAUGCAGAGAGAGAGAGAGAGAAGUGGAUUCACCGGCCUACCCCACCAGCAGCAGCUUGUUUGGUGGGAACUGUCUGAAGCCAUGACAUAACAUUCAAAUGGACAGCUUUUUCUUUGUCUUUUUCUUUUUUCUUCUUUAAUUUCUUCCUAUGGUAUUUGGUGCCAUAGAUUUUAGUUUUCCAAUAUUUAUGAAUAUGCAUCCGUAGUACUAUACACUGGGUGAUGAGCCCCAUCAUCACAUUUAUCUAUAUUUCUAUAUCACUGUCACAAAUCACUCAUCCUUACCUGCCCUUCUUCAUUUUUUUUCCUUUUUUCAGUUUCAAUUUUUAAGUUUUUCUGCCCUAAAUGGCUCUGUUAGUUAGUUGCAGUAAUUUAUUUGUUCAUUUUAUACCAAACGCUUCUCUCAAUAUUGAUAUUGGAUGGACUCCAUUUAAACAUACAUAUCAACACUGUAAAUUAUAAUUUCGGGACAAAAUAACAUUUAUUAAUUGAAAUUGGUAAUAUUUUCAUUUUAGUCCUUGAUUUUUUUAUCUAUUUAAUUUUAGAGUUUGACAGAUUUUCUCAAUUUAAUUAUUAAACUUGAAUUUUAUUAAGGCAUAAUGACGUGACACAAUAUUAAAGUACAGUAUCUUCAUUUGAAUUUCUUUUUUUCUUUUUUAACUUAAGAAGAAAUUAUGAUUUCUUUAUUUUGUUUCUUUUAGAUUUUAUAAAAAUAAAAUAAAAUUUACAAGUGAUAACAUGGCACAAUCUAAAAAUGCCAUACCGUCAUUAUCUUAAUAGAAAUUAAGUUCACAAACUAAAUUGAAAACAAAAAAAAUUGUUAAGCGUAAAGAUUAAGUGGACCUCCAAAAAUAUCAAGAAUCAAAUAGAAAAAAAUUAUCAAUUUGUAUUGAUUAAAUAUUAUUUUAUCCCUUAAAAAAUUAAAAAUUAUAACCAUAUCAACAACUGCCAUGACAGUAUAUAAAAUAUUAUUUUAAGCUUAAACAAAUCAUUUAAAAUAUAUUACUAAAGAACAUGUUGAGAGCUUAAAUUAAAAAAAAAAAUUAACUAUUUAUGUCACGUAAUCAGUCAAUCUUAUAUUCUUAUUAAUAUACUAUAUAUAAUUUAUUUUACAUAUACAUUGUUUACAAAUAACUAUGCUCACCGAAUCCAACAAAACAAGAAGUUAAAUAUUAUUAGAAUUUGUUAAUUCAUCUAAACUAGAAUUAUUCAUGGCCCAGUCUGUCAGUAUUAUUUUAAAAAAAAUAUUUUUUAAAAAAUAUAUAAUAUAUGAAAUAUACUAAAAAUAUUAAAAUAAAUAUUUAUUAACAAAUUAAAAAUAAAUUAAAAAAAUAUUUAUAUUUAAAUAACACAACAUAAGUGUAACUUAACAAACAAAUACCUCUAAAAUAAUAGCAAAAUUAACAAUAAAACAAAGUGUUAUACAAUAUUCUAUAUAGUAGCAACAUAACAAUGAAAUGGUAACAAAACACUAAGAAAACAACAUCAAAAUAACAAAGUUUCUUUUAUUGCAAAUUCAGGCCAGAUUGAGUCCGGGCCAAAAAAACCUUACCCGAUACCUAGCCCAUUUUCUAAUCUAACCUUAUUUUUUUAUCUAAAUUUAUCUUUUGAGCCUAUAUUUUUAUCAAAACUCCCUUAUUUUUUAAACAGGUUUUCAAACCGAAUCACAUGGCUUCGCCAUAAAGAACUCUAAUCUCAACGUAAGGAAAUAUACGAAAUUACAAAUCAUGAAUGGAAUUUUUUUUAGAAUCAUGAAUAUGAAUUAUUAUAACCUAAUCGUGAAAUAUCUAUAUUUUAAUUAUUGAGGUAAGAAAAUUUAUAAUAAUUAAUACAUGCAUAUAUUAAGAAGGGAAUAUCAAAUAUGCAUAAUAUACACAUAUAUAUUAUUCACCUUUAACCUAACAGCUUUUUUAAUGUCUAUAAUUAUUGUAAGAGGAACUUUCCAGCAGCCCAAAGAAAAAAAAAACCUACAAAUAUUCGUACGUGGAAAGGAAAAAGAAAAUUAUAUUCUUAUGGAAACAGCAUCGAAAUUAUUGAGAAAUUAUAUUUAGCCAACUCCCUGCUUAAUAAUAUAUUCCUUAAUUAAUUUCAAUCGAGAAUAAUAUUAUAAGAUGAAACUUCCACAGCCCAAUAUUUUUCCAUGCUUUCGUAUAAAUUAAAUAUAAUUUUUAUGGUUGCAAUAAUUAUUUUACUUAACUUUAAUAUUAAAAAAUAUAUAAUUACUUAUUUAAAGUUUAUUAAUAAAAAAAUAUAGAUAGGCAAUCUUUUUACUUCAUCUCCAACCCAUAAAUAGAAUGAUAAUGUAUUUUAGCGCACUCGAAUUUACGUAUUUCUAUAUUGAUAAUAAUGUUUAUGCCAAUCAAACUAAUACUCAUUCGACAAAAUUAAAACAUAUUUCAACUUAAAAAAAAUCAGUAAAAAACUUAACCACAAUCCCAAAUGGUGCAUGCAUGGAUCACAUAGGUGGUUUUCAAUGAAAUUUCUUGCUUAAGAAACAAGUAACCUAUCAGUUGUUUUUUUUUAUGCAAAAUAUUUUUAUAAAAACUUGAGAAACAUAAUUUCUUGGACUUAUUUAUUUAUUUCGAGAACACAAGUGUGCAUAUAUAAUAAAUAAGAAAUAUAUACAAUUUUAUUUUUAAUAAAAUAUUUUUGAAAAAAAAACUAUUUUGAUUUUGAAAGUCAUGCAAUGCAUGUAUAUGCGGGAUGGAGGUAGGAUGGUGCACCAACUUUUGGAAAAGAUUUAUGAUUUAACAACCACCGUCCCUCCCCCCCCCCCCCCCUCCCCAAUAAAUGUGCACAACCCAUGCCACCUAUGGGAACCAUGUGCGCCAAAGCAAUGAUCCCAACUCAAUGACUUUGCCUACAAAUAUUCUAAAUUCCAAUACUUUUAGCAAAAAUCAUGGCUAAUUAACCAUUUUUUAACAAAAAACAAAUAUUUCUUAAUGAAAGGGGAAUUUUGUUCAAGCAUGACGUUGUUUAAGGAACGAAAGGAGUGAGGACAUUGAAAUCCUCAUUUUUAACUAGUAUUAUUUAAAAAAUUCGAUGCUUUUAAAUUUAUGCAUUCUUAUACCAACAUGAUAUUGGUUUAGUGCUAAUUUAUACGCUAAUUCAAGUAAAGGCGAAGUUAAGAAUUAUUUUUAGAGUUAGAAUUAAGUUAUAUAUAAUUUUAGAGUUAAAAUAUAAUUUUAUUAUUGUAUUAGUUUAUAUUUUUAUAAUUUUAAAAAAAAUUAAAUUAAAAAUUAUUAUUUUUAAAAGGUCAAAUCAUAAAUUAAUCAUUUAUAAUUUUAUAAAAUAUGAAAAACCAAUGUGAUAAUUUUUUUUAUUUGUAUUUUAGGGCACUUUGGAACACUUUAACCCUUUCCUUAAACAUAAUGCAACUUUUUUGUAUAGAAAAAUGCUAGUAAAAUUUGGGUUUGCAUUAUUUAUAGAAUUAUGGGUUUUAUUUAAACAUUUAUGAAAGUAAUAUAUGUUUUUAAUUAUUUAUUAAAAUAAUAUAAAAUAAAUAGUAAAAGUUCAAAAAUAAAAGUUAAAUCAUCAUGGAGGAUGGCUAAUUCUUUUUUUUUUUCUAGUAAGUUAACAUAAAAAAAAAUCUGUCACAUUAAAAUGUCAAAUUGUCAUCGUGAAUAAUGAUUUUAGCCAUUCAUUAUGAUAUUGUUGAAAACAUGUUCAAUUGAUAAAUAAUUUUCAAGAUAAGUUGUUUUAACAAUUAAAUUUCAUUUCUAUGUGAAAAAAAAAUCUGAUAGGUUUGUAUUAAAUUUUGUUAAGUUAAACCCUAAUUAUCGAAGCUUAAAAUAACACAUUAAUAUUGUAUAUGGACCUAAAUGAUCAAAACAAAAAAGUUUUUUCAAGCAUUUAAAUUUAUAUUGAUAUUACAAUAAAUAAAUAAAUAUAUAUAUAUAUAUAUAAAUGGCGUAGCUUAGUAGAGACCUAAAGACUAUAACUUCUCUUAAAAUGAUAAAUUUUUAAUUUAAAAUCUUUAUAAUUUAUAAAAUUUUAAAUUAAUAAUAAUAAAAUAUAUUAUUAUUAUUAUAAACGUAUACAAUUUAAUUUUUAUCUCUCACCAUAUUUUUUUGGACUUCGUGAAUGCACAUAGAGAUUUAGAUCUAAUUCUUUUAAAAGGAUAUGUAUGAAUUUGUUGAGCACAAUAAGUGCAACACAUUUUCAAUGAUUAGAUACUGUAGAUAAUGACUCCUCUGUAGCCAAUGUUGAUAUGGUGAAACAAAAAUGUUUUUUUCUUUUUUUAAGAAAAGAAAAUAUAAGUUCGAAACAAUAAAGAUUUGAUGGGAAGGGGUAGAUUCUUCACAAGUACCUGAAACCUGUGACUGAACCAUUUAUACAAUAUCAUUGUUUUCUUGUAUUAGAACUGGCUGGCUUGUCCUUUGAUUUCCUCCUCUCCCCCCCCCCCCAACUUUUUUCAUUUUUAAACCACUUAUAAUCAACUAUUUCGAAUAGAUUAGAAUGAGAAUCAGUUAAAGUAUUCAUUUAAAGACAAGAUUUAAAUCGAUUAAUUCACGAUUUGGUAUAAUUUAAUUAUAUAUAAUUAAAAAAUUACUUGUAUUGGAUCAUAUAAAUCGAUCCACAUUACAAUUUUGAAAACUUUGAGAAAAGAUAAUUGUAGAAUUAAGAGUCAAUUUCUCAUUAAAAAAAAUGUUUUUAAAAAAGUGUUUUUGGAAAAGUAGUUUUAAAAUGUUUAUUUAGACAUGAGGUGGUUUUAAAGUAUAAAAAAAAAUUUAAAUAAUAUUUAAAUUUGUUAAUAGUGUAGUAUAUGAAAAUAUAUAAAAUUACAUUAUAAUAAAAAAUAUUUAUUAAAUAAUUAAUAUUAUGAUAUAAAAUAUAUAAAAUAAAAUUAUAAUGGACUCAAUGAAUCAAAUAAUAUAUUUUUUAAGAUUCAAAUAAUAAUCUUAUAUAUAAUUCAACACUAAUCAAACCCAACUUGAGUGAAAUGUUUUAUUGAUUAAAAAUUAAGUUGUCGAUUGAUUCUUAACUCGAUUGAUAUGGGUUGUUAUUAAUGUAAAAAGAUAUAGAAUCAAAUGUACUGAAACGCAUUAUCCUCCUACUUUCCAUUUUAGCAAACCCUAUUAAAGAUGUCCUAAUAUAUUUUGCUAAUUAAAAAAAAAAGAUAAAAUAACCAAAUUGAUUGAAUUAACUUCUAAUCUUAUAAUUUAAUCAAUUUCAUUUAUAUUAUAUGCUGUGCUAACAACACACAAUAAUCAGAAAAAUCAAUACUUUCAAUUGUUAUAUUAUUAUUAUUUUCUUGUAAAUUCAAUUAUUGAGAAUACAGCACAUGAAUUUUCAAAAUGGGAUCCAAUAAGAAAAUAUACAGUACAAGCACAAGCAAUGGCUAUGCAUAAUGCAUGAUUCUGUGUUGGGCCACCAUAUAGAUUUUUAGCCGAAAUUAUUUUAACUCAAUCUCAAUUCUAAAAUUGUUUAUGUAAAAAUAGAUUAUUUUUUAAAUAAUUUUAAUUAAUUUUUGAUAACCUCAAAUAUUAAGAAAAUAUUUUUAAAUUUCUUUAAUAAUACUCAAAUUUAAAAUAUAGAAAUUUUUUAAAAUAAUAAUAAUAAUCGAGAGGUUAUUGACAGAAAGAUUAAAUGUUAAGAUUAUUAUAAUAUAAAAAAUUAUGAAUAUUGCAUUAAAAAAAUUAAUAUGAACACGAAUUUGUAGUCCAACUCAGCUACAUCUCAUUUCUUUUCAAACUUUUUAAAUGCUUUUGCAUGUUCUCCAUUAAUCGUAUAUAAAUUUAUUGAAAUAAUUGAUUUAAGAAAAUAUAUUUGAUUUAAAAAUAAUUGAAAUGCAUUUCUAUUUUAAGCAAUGCAUUACAUAUAAAAAUUUAUAUUUUUUUAAACAUUACAUAAAAUAUUUAAAUGAGAAUUCCCCACUUAAAAAAUAGGUUAAAAUAUGUAAUAAUUUUAUAUAAUAUUUAUAAAAUUAAAAUUUAGUCAUUAUAUUUUGAUUUUUAAAAAUUUACAUUUUUUACUUCUCAAAUUUUAAAAUUCAGUUGCAAAUUUUAAAAUUAGAAAAAAAAAACUAACUUAAUAAUCAUAUAACUGAAAAAAGUAAUAUUAUAAUAAACUUAAAUUUAAUAAACUAAUUUUAAUGUUAUCCGGUUAAACUUAAAUUUUAAAAUAAAAAAUAAAAAAUUUUAAAUUAUAAAAAAUUAUGACAUAUUUUAAUUAAAAAUAUAAUAAGUUUAAAUGUCUCAUUCAAAUUAAGAUUUAGUAUGUAAAAUUUGAUUUUUUUUCCAAAAAUUGAAUUGAUAUCGCUUAAUUAAUGAACUAAUUUCAAUCACAUACUUUAUUAUUUAGUUUUUUUUUAAAAAGUAUAUAUUAUUUUAUUUUUUAUAUCAUAUACCUUUUUUUCCCGCUAGUGUUUCCCUUCGCUUCCCCAGAGAAAGUGAGUUCGAGAAGCUCCAAAAAUUGUUGUUAAUGGAUGCUUCCAUCUAUGCCAUCUUCAGUUCCAAAAAUAUCUCAUAGAAAACGAACCCAAUCCCCAUUGUAACCCAGUUCUAUAAACUAAAAUCUCCCCAUUGCUUAAUUAAUCACUUUGUAACUAUAAUUUCUUAAUAUAUAUUUUUCUUCACCCGUUUAUUAGAUAUCUUCAAUUUCCUGUUACUGGGUUUCGAUCUCUCAGUUCAGAAAAACUGUUUGACCCCUUAUUUUUUGUUUUUUUUUUUUGCAAGAAAUUGAGUUAAUUUUUGUUACAAUAAAAAUUUAUUUCUAUAUUAAAAAUUUGGGUUACUUUUUGAUUCAAUGGGAAAGACCAGGUGCAAUGGGUAUGGAUUGGGAUCCAGGUUGGAUCUCUUGGGUUUCGUUAAUUGUUAUUAAUUGUUUUGUUUGUUUAAUUUAGUCUUUGUUUUUGUUAAACUUGUUCUUUGUGUUUUGUGUUUCUUGUUUUCCGAGCUUUAUUUUCAGCCUUUUAUUUUCAUUUUCUAUUUUCUGGGUUUGUUCGUUUGGUAGGAAUUUAGAAUGACGUACAAUGGUUAAGGGUUUACAAGAAAAUAUUCUCAUUAGUACCUGAGGGUUUUCAUGGGUUGAACUCAACAGAAUAAUAUGGAUAGUUUGAGGGAAGACGAGGAAUGUUCAUUUUUUGAUGCUAAUGAACACAUUGGAACAAUGUCUGGUUUACAUUCUGAUUCAAAUUCUGGUUUUGAUAAUUGGUCUGAGAGUAGUUUCGAUGUAUGGAUUCGUAGCCCUCGAAGUGUUAACAAACGCCGCAUUAAGUUUUUCGAUUGGAUGGGAGAUAGUUUAGACCGAAUUUCGUUCAAGAAUUCAGUAGAUGAACCUAGUUUGGAAGGAGAAUUUAGCAGGGUUAUGGAAACUAGUGAUGCUGUUUUGAGAACACGAGGCUCCGAAGAGUUCUCUUCGAGCCGGUCUUCAAUGUCUUGUUGGUCUAAUGAUAAUCUUGAUUUGUCUGAGGAGUCGAGUUCGCGUGAUAAGUUUGUAUGUAAGGAAGGAAAUGAGGAUUGGGGAGAAGAGUGUGGUGUUGAUGAAAAGCUUCAAGAUGGGGAGGGAAUUGAAGGUUGCGAAACGAAGGUGGAUCAGUUGGUAAAUGGUGAAAACAGCUCCACUUCUGAGAUCCCUUGUGUGUCAAUGACCUCAUUGCAACAAGUUACAGAGAGGGAAAUGGAGAAGCAGAAUAAAACCGAGAGAAUGCCAAAGAAAGCUAAGAACCGGUGGUUAAAUAAAUUGAUUACACGUUUCCUGGAUAAACAGGUUGAAGAUGAUUCAUUGAGUGGUAAUAGAGAUAAUUCAGUUUGGGGGAAUAAGGUUCAGAGAGUUAAGGUUCAUCAAUGCAGGAAAAGAACAAAGGAACUUUCUGCACUUUAUAAGGGACAAGUUAUCCAGGCUCAUGAAGGUUCAAUUUUGACGAUGAAAUUCAGUCCUGAUGGACGGUACCUAGCUAGUGCCGGUGAAGAUGGCGUUGUACGAGUAUGGCAAGUGGUGGAGGAUCAAAUGUGCAUCGACCUUGAUAUCCCAGAGAUGGAUCCUUCCUGUUUAUACUUUACGGUGAAUCAUCUUUCUGAAGUGAAACCCCUCGUUGUAGAUAAGGUAAAAGAAGGCAAUAUAAGAAGCCCGAGGAAGACAUCUGAAUCUGCGUGUGUGAUCUUCCCCUCCAAAGUUUUCCGGCUAGUCGAGAAACCAUUACAUGAGUUCCAUGGACACACUGGUGAGAUCUUGGACCUCUCCUGGUCCAACAAAAAUGUGAGUGGAACCAAUUUACGUACAUGUUUCUAGAAAGGGAAAACAUAUAUUUUCAUCUUAUAUGUCUCCGUUUUGUGUUCCAUGUUUCAGUUCCUGUUAUCUUCCUCGGUUGAUAAAACCGUUCGUAUGUGGCAAGUUGGAUGUGAUGGUUGCCUCAAAGUAUUUUCUCAUAGUAAUUACGGUGCGCUUCUAUCAUUGAACUUAUGUUGUAUUUUGGUGCAUGAUCUUGUUCUGAUUUCUGAUAAAGAAUUUCCUCUUAUAUUAUGAUGCAGUAACCUGUGUUCAGUUUAACCCUGUGGAUGACAAUUUCUUCAUUAGUGGUUCAAUAGAUGGAAAAGUGCGCAUUUGGUCAAUUUCUGGCUGCCAGGUUGUUGACUGGAUUGAUGUAAGAGAUAUAGUUACUGCAGUGUGUUAUCGCCCGGAUGGACAGGUUUGCGUGAUUUUCUUCUAGUGGUUUAGAAUCACACUGAUAUGGGGUUGCGCGCGGACCAAGAUCGAGUUGUCAAGUCACGGGAAACUCCUACGAAAAUCCUAAACAAUCAGAUCCGAAACGAAACAAAAAAAUUAAAAGAUUAGAACUUUGAAUUUCCAGAUCUGAAAUAAAAUCCCCAAAUCAGCAAAGAAUCAAAUUGAGAAUAGAAAUAAGUGUUAGGGUUCUUGAAACCCUCAAGGAGAUUGUGAUUCUGCCCAAUUGAACACCAAGAUAGUUUUUCCCAAAUUUCGACAAUCUAAUUUCACCCAAAAAGAGUAUGGAAAAACCCUAGAAAUUGGGGAUUUUUGGGCUGAUUCCUUAAGAUAGAAAAAGGCUGAAAACACAAUAAGAACAGAAAAUAGAUUAGAUAAUGAUUCAGCACAAGUAGAAAUAAAGAAAGAAUUGACAGUAAGAAAUUAAAAGAUAAGUCCUAAGAAGCCUUGAAAUCUCGAAAGAUCUCACAACUCCCUUCAAACGGCUCUAAUCUCCCCUCCAAAGAAUAUCAAUGGCAAGAAGAAGGUUGAAGAUGGCUCCCACAAUCACAAGAUUGUUAAAACAACUUCUAAAGAAAACUCAAGAGAGAAAUCUUGGAGAAAACUCAAAGAAAAUUCUGCUCUCAACAAAUCUGAAAUUUUAAUAAUAAUGAUGAGUGUUUAAUAAGGUGGACAGCCAUGCCUUUAAAUAGGCCUUAUAACUAGUCCUAAUCUAAUUAGAAAACUAAAAUAAAAAAAACUCCUAAUUAUUUUAAUAUGGAAAUUCGGUCAAAGGUCAUUUUAUCUGGAACUCUUGGACUGAAUAUUGACAUAAAAAUUUAAACUAAGUAAAUAAAUAAAUAAAUAAAUAAAAAUAAAAAUAAAAAUAAAACUUUACAACUUGGGCCAUUUUGACAAUUUGGCCUGAUUUUCAACUAAGUAUGGAUGGAUUUUUUAAUUGGGCUGGGAAUUUACUUAUUGGGCCUCGCCUUCAAGAAUUUGGGCUUUUGUGACUCGUAUCACACACAGUUGAGCACUUUGAACUUCGAGAUAAACAAUCUCUUUUUCUAUUUAUGCAGGGAGGAAUUGUUGGCUCAAUGACUGGCAGUUGCCGCUUUUACGAUAUGUUAGGUAUGCUUCCUUUGAUAGGGAUUCAUAUUUGUUCAUGGAUUGACCUAUAUUCAUCAGUUUUAUGAAUCAUAUACAUCAAUCUAUAGGCAUAUGCAUUUUUGGUCUGUUUCUCAAAAUCCUUAUUCUUGGGUUUGUUCGUUUGUGCCUACCUGGGGUGGGAUAUAAAUUGCUUCAGUUUAAGUGAUCUAGAAGUAGUAUCUGAAAGUUUUUCUAGGCAUAGGCUUUAGAAAUAUGUUUCUUUCAUUAAGCAGCUUUUACAGUUUGACUGAUUCGUAAGAAAACCGAUUUUAUGUUGCUUUUUCAGACAAUCAAUUGCAACUGGGUGCUCAGAUAUGCGUAAAUGGGAAAAAGAAGUCGCCCUGCAGAAGGAUAACUGGCUUGCAGGUAGUUCUUCUCAUCCUCGGUUUUGAAUUUUGAUCACCAUAGGCUUAUCUUAAAAACCAAGAUGUGCAGUUGUCAAUAAUGUAUUAUUCAUUUCAGUUUUUGUCUCAAGAUCCGAGCAAAGUAAUGGUAACUUGUGCGGAUUCACAAGUCAGAAUUCUUCAAGGACCCAACGUGAUUGGCAAAUACAAGGGUAUGUUCCCACUGUUCUCUAAACUCAUGACCGUGCAAUUUGAUGCCUUACUCGUAUUUUUCCCCAACUUAAGCUGUCUCUUUUUUUUUUUCCAGGUGCACAUAACAACGGGAACCAAACAUUUACGUCAAUAACAGCAGACGGGAAGCACAUUGUUUCAGCUUGUGAUGAUGCUAAUGUAUAUAUAUGGAAUUGCGUUCAUCAGGAUAAGAAUAGUAUCUCUCAGUCUAAAGAUAUAAGAUCUUGUGAACACUUCUCUGCUAAUGCAUCCAUCGCGAUCCCUUGGUGUGGCCUGAAAUAUGGGAACACAGAAAAUAGGCAGUUUGAAGUACCACUGGAGGAUUUACCCCAUGACCUUCCAUUUUCGUUACCUUCUUAUUUCUCUAUGGGCCAUGAAUAUUCUUCAGAGUCUUUACCUAAGGGAUCUGCAACAUGGCCGGAGGAAACACUUCCUCCAUCCAGUCCAUUGUCAAUGCCGUCUUCAAUCCAUAAAUCCCAGUACAAGUUUCUGAAAACUUCCUGCCAGAGUACAUUUGAUUCUCACGUUUGGGGUCUUGUUAUAGUGACAGCAGGAUCAGACGGUAGAAUCAGAUCAUUCCUCAAUUACGGUUUACCAGUACCCGUGUGAAAAUACCAGUAGAAUUUAGUCCCAACAAGUGGCUGGUUUUAUACGGUUGCAACAAAAUCCUUCUUGGAACGAGUGUGUGACUGAGGUUAGCUUAUCUGAAUAUCCAGGUUAACUUCAUGAUUGAUUUGUUACUCGAGAAAUCUUUUGUCUACUCGCCUGGAAAAGAUUACGCAUGUCAUGUGUUGAAAGGCAAUUGAGAUAUAUUAUAUGCAUAAUGCAGGCAUCUGUAGCCUGUAGGACCAUGUAAACAACCUCUUCCUUCUGUUUAUCUUAAAUUGGAUUAGAAAUCAGAGGUGGUGGCUGCAGUUCGUUCCGGGGAUAAAAAAUGGUGGGGGUGCUACUUUGAAUGAUUGAUUUGUUUGUCUGCCAUUUUAGGUCUGCCUCCUGGUAGGGGCCAUUCAAACCUGUUCAUGGAUUCGGGAAUUUACCAGGCUUUAUUUUCACCGAACCGGCUUCCGUGCUUCCUUGUAAUGCUUGAAUGCCUGCCGGUUUGGUCACACUUGCGGUUAUGGUUGAUAAUUCUUUGCUAACACAUUCAUAGUAACAUCUUGUAGAGUUAUUUCAUUUUUUACCCCUUUUCUCUUUUGUUGAAGACUGGCCUGGAUUUAGGCGCACAUGUAUUUUAGUCAGUAUAUAUGUUGUAGCAUUCAUUUGACAAAGAAUCAAGAAGCUUUACUUUAGUUUUGAAUGUCCAUGAUAUGUUUAUUAUUUAUUUAUGAUUUUCAGCUAAUGCUGAAGAUUGAUUAAAAUUUCAAAGGUAAAACUAUACCAAUCACUAUGAUUACUGAAUCUUUCGAAAAUUUUUAUUUAAGUCACUGAGCAGUUAAAAUCAUUAUUGUAUGGCUGUUUGUACCACUUACACCAACUGAAAAACUUUUCUUUCUCCUUCUCUUCUAUAGUUUAAUUUUUUUUCAUAAAGCAGUUAUGAAUUUCACAAAUAUAUAAAUCUAAAUCCCAGUAGCUUUCUUUUCCAAUAUUUGGCAUUGAUCAUCAGAUCGAUUCGGAUCUAAUGUAUGUUCUUACUUGUUGAUGGAUACUAAUGUACCGUACUAAUCAUUAAAUCAUCGUUUGGAGCUCGCUAAUCGGACUGAUAAAAAAAAUUUUAAUAACUCAAUUACUUAAAAUAAAAAUUUUCUAAUAGUUCAAUUACUUAAAUGAAAACUUUCAAACAGCUUAAUUAUCAUUUCAUAAUUUUUUGAAGCGAAUACUCUAUACAUUCAUAUGUAUAUAUGUUACAAAUAUUGAUUACAAAUUCAGCUGACAAAUUUUGAUAUGUAUGUAUGUAAAAGGUGUAGCCUUCUAUCACUGAAUUGUGGUAGAUAUGGUUGUUGAUGAAUGUAAAAAGGAAGAAGCAUAUGGUCUUAUUACAAAAGAACCAAAGUGUGUUAUUACAUAACAUUGACAAAACACAAGAAUCCAAGGCCAGAGACAAGAAAACAGCCGAGGAUCGUAUAAUAAUAUCAAUUAAUUUCAAAGUUGAAGCAUAUGCCGUUAACGUUAGAUCGAAGCCAUCACAUCAUGAUGCAAGUGAUGUUUUCCUAUACCGACUAAAUUAAAUAUUUAAUGUAAUUUUAUCGUCAUUUUUAAUUAAAUAUAUAGUUUAAUAAUUUACUUGGUAAUUAUUGAAAUUAUUAUUUUAUAUCCAUUUUUAAAAAACCCCAGCCCAAAUGAAUGCAUUGCAUUGGGUCAGCCAAUCAUCUCCCUAAUAGCUCAUAAGAACAAAGCCCAAAACAAAAAAAGCCCAGAGCUUUUCUUUCAGAGUACGAAUUUUGAUUGCGUCAAUUAAUCCACCAUAUGAACAAAAAAUUAAAACCCAGAAUUGCAAAGCUUUCGAAUGAAUUUCAGUAAGAGUUUACUAAUCUUAGCGAACAACAUAUCGGAGAUUCACAUUCCUCCGAUCAAAUUAUUUAGCGGUGAGAAUUUCAUGGACAUCCAAACUAAGAAAAAAAAAAGAGUCAAACAACCCAGAAAAAAGCUUACAUCAAAAUUCACAGUAUUAAAAAGAACUAAAGACAAAAAAUUCGAAACCCUAGAAACAAUACGCGAUCCAUGACCUAAACAGGGAGAUUAACGACGUCGUUUGAAGGAGUGUUGUUGUUGUUAGGGAUAGAGGUGACUGAUGAUGGAGAGAUGGAGGAACAAUUAGUGAACAUGAGAGGGAGAUCAUGAGCCUCAGAAUCAUCGGCAUCAUCGGAGGUGGAAAGGUUAAUGCAAGAGCAACGCUCGAGAGACGCGAAGAAAGCUUGGGCUACGCUGCUUCCCAACCACGCCGCCAUGUAAGAUAAACAGCUGCCUUCACUGUUCUGCAUUCUAAGGAUUAUCUGAUUGAUUUGUGGGGGGGGGGAGUGAAGUGAGGAUCUGAAAGAAGCUGUUUUGAUUUUGAAUUGAACUUUGUUGAUAAUAAUCCCCAAAAUCAAAAUCUGGGGGUAUUUUUUGAAUUUCAAAACCCUAAACUUGAAGAUGAAGCGAUCGGUCAAUUGACUCUAUAAAGGUAAAAGCAACGGACUUUGUCACCUGCAAGUUACCUUCUCUUCUUUUCCUGUUUUUAAUUAUAAUUUUUCCCUUAAAUUGUAGUGUUCUUUUUUUUUUAAGUGGGUUAAUUAGUAAUUACGUUAACUAAUGGGUCAAGGCUUGUGGGCUUUGUCGGGGUUGUUUGGUCCAUAGAUUGUUUAUAUUUUAGAUAAUUUAUUUUUUUCCUACAAGAUCAUUUAAUUUAUUGAUAACUUUUAGUUUUAUCAAUUUAUUUUAAGAUGAGUAUUUGAUAUAUUAAUAAUAUAUAUUUUUUAUUUUACAAACAGUUUGAAAACAUUAAAAUAUAUCUUUUAUAGACACUAAUUAACUCUUUAACUCUAUUUAUGAAGUUUAAAAAUUUCACUAACAAUAUACUAAAUAAUUUUCAUUUACUUUAUUAAACUUCUAUUGUUAACAAAUUAAGCCACUUUUUAAAGAUAAAGUAGGCAAAUUUUUAUUAUUAGCAACUUAAGUCACUUUCUGAAGAUAAAGUAUCUAUCUUUUAUCUCUAUAUUAAGAACAAAGAUAAAAAAAUAAAAAUAAAAUUGAAACUCGUAUAAAAACGUUCAUAAAUUGGAUCGAGGCUUGUUUCCAAAAAUGUUUCAAGACUAAGCUUAAGCAAUGACUCAUUUUAUUGUUUAUAAAUAAUAAUGUUUUAAAAUGUAACUAUACAAAUAUAUAAAUAUAAAAUAAUUUUUUUUAUAAUUUUUAUUAUAACUACUUAAACAAACAUCAUCAAAUCACAUCAACAGUCUACCGAUCACAUCCUCCAGACCUUACAGCCCCAUAAGUAUUCCACUAUCCCAUAUAAAAACACAAGGAAUAAGGAGAGAGACUCCUCUUCAUCUUUCUCUAAUUGAGAACUCACUUUUUUCCAUACUUCGACAAUUAAUUCUGUUGGCCCUCUACCCUAUCCAAAAUGAAGUGAAUCAAUCAACUUCUUCACUACUCAAACAUAAUAUUAACACAUUUGUUGAUAUUAAUAUCUCAAAAUUAAUUUAUUUUAAAAAUAAUUCGUUAAGAUAACAUUCACUUUAUAAUUAAUUACUAAAACUAGCAUAAAUGCUCUAUUUUGUUGAUAAUUAAAGUCUGGAUUAUCAAUAAUAAUAAAAAAGUUGAUGAUAUAGUUUGAUUAAAUUAAAGAAUUAUUAAUUUUAUAUUAAUUUCAAUAACUUAAAAAGUCCGACGUUGAUAAUCAUAAAUAGAAUUUAUGAAUUGGGUCCAUGAACCUAAUCUAUGAAGGGGACCUAUUAAUUAGAUCUCUAAAUUAAACUUAUGAAUUCGACUGUAAAUUGGAUCCAUGAACCGAACCCACUAAAAUACAUCUCAUCAUAUCAUAUAUAUAUAUACAAUAACCUAAAUACACUAUAAUUGUGACAAGUAGUGCAAUAAUAUUUUAUUUAUUUAUUUUUAAUUUUUAGUUAUUCAUUAAUUAAGUUAAAACAAUUUUAACGUGAUUUAAAAGCAAAUAGAGGAAAAAUAAAUAAAUAAUAAAAAUUAUUAAUAACUUUUUAAAAUUUAAAACGUAUUAUGUAGAUUUAAUUUUAAAUGUUUAUCCUACAUAGUAUUAAUUUUUAAUGUUAUUAUAUGUAAAUUUAUUUAUAAUAUUAUUUAUUCAAUAAAAUUAUAAAGUAAAUACGUAAUACAUGUAGAUUUAUUUAUAAAUUAUAUAAAAGAUGGCCUUUAUACGAGGUUUAUAACUGCUUAUAUUAAAUAUUUUCCAAAUUUUAAUUAUUUUUAUUUCCUACACAUAUAUUUAAUAAUUAAUUUAGUUUAGUCUCUCAUUUUGAUUUUUUUUAUUUAGUCCUUUCCUUUAAAUUCUAAAUUAUAGCUCCCAUGGUUAAUUAAUUAUUAUUUAAUUAUUUCAACAAUUUCAAAUUAUUUUAAAUAAAAAUAGACAAAUAUUGGUUGGUUUUAAAAGGACUUUUAUUUGGAUCAAUUGAAAAACCUCCUUUUGAAAACAUAUUACAUGAAAUUUUAAUUUGUUUAUUAGUUUUUUUAAUAGUAACUUAGUUUGUAUUAUUACAGAUAAGCAUAAAACAGUUUUAAAUAUUUUUUAAAAUAUUUUAAUUUAAGUAAACUUUUAAUAAACGUUAUUUGAUUUAUUCUUCCAUGUUUAAUUUUAAAAUGAAAUAUUUAAAAUUUGUAAUUAUUUUAAAAUUACUUUUAAUGACCAUAUAUCGAAACUCAUCUUUAAAAAGUGUAUAAAAAAAACAGACUUAAAAGAUUGUGGCAAACUUUUAUGAUGAAUAUUAAUUAAUAAUUAUUUAAAAAUAUUUAUUUUAAAAUGACUUAAAAAUACAAAUGAAAAGUUAAAUAAAAAUAUUUUUUAUAAUAUUUUAUUUUAAUUUUAUAAAAUUUAUUCUAAUAUCAAAUAUUAUGUUUAAUAUUAUUAUAUUAUAAUUUUGUAAUCAUUUUAUUAAUGGAAUGUUAUAAAAUUUAAAAGAACAUGAAAUAAUUAAAAAUUUAUUUUAUUUUCAUUUUCUCAAUCAUACAAAUUUUAUAUCAAAAUUUUUAAAUAUAUAUAAUAUAUUUUAAUUAAUGCAUACAACCAAAUUCAUGCACACGGGUAAAAAGUUAGUUAUCAAAAUAUAUUAAAGUAAAUAUUUGAAUAGUUAUACGAAUACAACCUCAAAAUUUCACAUCAUUAUAAGGUUAAAAUGUGGCAUAAGUUCUUAUACUCUUCACAAACUUAAAAAUUAAUCCUAGUAUUUUUAUUGCUAGAUAUUUAGUGAUUGUACUUUUCAAAUUUUAAAAUUCAGGUCAUAUUAUUUUUUUUGUUAAAUUUGUCUCCGUUAUAUUUGAAAAAAAAACUCAAUUGGUAAUUAUGUAAUUAAAAAAAUGACGUUAUAAUGAACUUAAAUUUAAAAUAAUAAUUUUAAUAAUGACAACAUAUAAAACUAAAUUUUGAAAUAUGAAAAAAAAACUAAAAAUUAAAUUUUAAAUUUUAAAUUUACGAAAUUAUAAAUAUAAAAUCCGGAAAAAGUUAGUAGGUUAGGAUGCUGACAUUCACAAGUGAAUACACUAUUUGUUCAGCAAAUCAUGCACAACACUGUUCUUAACCUAUUAAAGAACAAGACAUGUGAAUCUGAGUGUUUUGUUUUUCUUUCCCCUCUUCAAUGAUGGGGGGCUUGUUUUUGGUUGUUGGGCUUGUAUAAUAAAUAAUAAUCUUGAGCUGCCAUUCUUUCAGCAACUACGGUUCCUUUCUAUUUUAGACCCUUUCAAACUGACUGUCAAACCCCCAACCAUAUUUCCCCAACUGUCCUUUGAACAUGCAGCUUAGCAAUUAGGACAGCAAAGGCAUUUUGGGAAUCCAACAAACAUUGUUUUCCCUUCAUAGUGGAAUUUUCUAUUUAUAACGAUGGGAACUAGGUUUCAUGGGGGUAUCUUAAGCUAGGCAAAGCACUUUAUUCCUCUUUGUAAUGUUUCUUGCUCAAAUGAGUAUUCCAAUCACAGUUGCAUUUGCAUAUACAUAUAUAUAUUCACACUCAUAAAACCCAAAAAAAAAAAAAUGGGUCUGUAUUAAUGUCCCAUGUUUUACCAUAUGUAUUGGUUUUAUGAUGCAUUUGCUUCUGUUUUUCUGAGAUGCUCAUUUAAGCAAGCAAUGUUAAAAAAGUGGAACUUUCUCUACCUUUAUAUGAUCAGGUGAAAUUCUUACAAUCUUUAACUGUGUUUAUUAUGAGCUUUGUUCAUAUCUGGUUUAUUAACUUUCACAUUGAAGUUCUGCUAACCAUUUGUGGGUGUGUGUGUUUUGAGUUAAUGGAGUGACUUUGGUAAUUCAAUUGCUUGAUGUUGGUGAUUGCCCCAUUUCUUUAGUUCAUCUUCCCUUUGCCUCGAUAAUUAGAUCGAUGAGAAUCCGAAGGUAGCUUUGGGUUUGGCCGUUAAAAUGGAAUUCGAUUGCCAAUGCUAUGGUAUGGAACCUAUUGAAAAAGGUCUGGGAAGUGCUAAUAAUUGGUUCUCAGGUGAAGUGUACACCACUCUGUUACUAUAUAUGAUGUGAAUGCAUCAGUACCACACAAAGUUUUUUAGAGGUUGUCGAUGAGUCGACGGUAUCGGAUUCCAAUUUCAAGGGCUUCACUGAGUUUUUGAUAGACGGAAUAAUACUUGUCAACUUUCUUAUCUUUGUUGUAAACAUUGUUCUCCAAGUUGUUCAUGAUCUUCAACAUGUAUUUAUCGCAAUUAAUUUCAGUAUUGUCCAUUAAAUCAGCCAUUGCAAUAAUUCAAUGCAAUAAAAUUUACUGUUUAUUACAACUGAGGUCUAAAUUUUCUAAAAUUUUAAUUGGAUUCUCAAAGAUCAAUAAAGUAUUUUUUUUUACAAGUUACCUUGUAAAUUUAGACUUGUCUAGAUAUGAGUUGAGUUUUUAUUUUUAAACACGUGAAUGAAAUUUUAUCUAUC